rnacentral:rRNA from 1 species
CUCUUCGGGGAUGAUUAAACCGGCGCACGGGUGAGUAACACGUGAGUGACCUGCCUUUUAGACUGGAACAACUUACCGAAAGGUGAGCUAAUGCCGGAUGAGUUAUAUAAGUGCAUGUUUAUAUAGGAAAAGUUGGGGAGACCUGACGCUGAAAGAUGGACUCGCGUCCCAUUAGCUAGUUGGUAGGGUAAUGGCCUACCAAGGCGACGAUGGGUAGCCGGCCUGAGAGGGUGGCCGGCCACACUGGGACUGAGACACGGCCCAGACUCCUACGGGAGGCAGCAGUGGGGAAUUUUGCGCAAUGCUCGUAAGAGUGACGCAGCGACGCCGCGUGAAUGACGAAGGCCUUCGGGUCGUAAAGUUCUUUCGACAGGGAAGAAAAUGCCUAUAAGUAACUGUGUAUGUAUUGACGGUACCUGUAUAAGCAGCCCCGGCUAACUCCGUGCCAGCAGCCGCGGUAAUACGGAGGGGGCGAGCGUUGUUCGGAGUGACUGGGCGUAAAGAGCACGUAGGCGGUGUUGUAAGUCAUUAGUCAAAGACUAGAGCUCAACUUUAGUAAGGCUAGUGAUACUAUAAUACUAGAGUAUCAGAGAGGAUUGCAGAAUUCCUGGUGUAGCGGUGAAAUGCGUAGAUAUCAGGAGGAAUACCGUUAGCGAAGGCGGCAAUCUGGCUGGAAACUGACGCUGAGGUGCGAAAGCGUGGGUAGCAAACAGGAUUAGAUACCCUGGUAGUCCACGCUGUNAACGAUGGAUGCUAGGUGUUGGGCUUUUAANUUCAGUGCCGCAGCAAACGCGAUAAGCAUCCCGCC